AGAACCGCGAACGGCUCAUUACAAUGGCCAUUAUUUACUUGAUCUUGAUUGUCUAAAUGGAUAACUGUGGAAAAGCUAGAGCUAAUACAUGCACUAAAGCUUUGUCCUUACGGAAAAGCGCAUUUAUUAGAACAAAACCACGCGGCUUCGGCUGCUUCUUGUUGACUCAGAAUAACUUAGCUGACCGCAUGGCCUUGUGCCGGCGGCGUGUCUUUCAAGCGUCCACUUUAUCAACUUGACGGGAGCAUAAUCGACUCCCGUGGUGGUGACGGAUAACGGAGGAUCAGGGUUCGACUCCGGAGAAGGGGCCUGAGAAAUGGCCACUACGUCUAAGGAUGGCAGCAGGCGCGCAAAUUACCCACUCUCGGCUCGAGGAGGUAGUGACGAGAAAUAACGAGACUGUUCUCUUUGAGGCCGGUCAUCGGAAUGGGUACAAUUUAAACCCUUUAACGAGUAUCAAGCAGAGGGCAAGUCUGGUGCCAGCAGCCGCGGUAAUUCCAGCUCUGCAAAUACAUAGAAUUAUUGCUGCGGUUAGAAAGCUCAUAGUUGGAUUCGUAUCGAUACCUUGGAACCCUUCGGGUGUCUCUAGGUGUUAUCGAUUUAUCGUAAUGUUCGGUUUUGAGUCCUUAACAGGAUUCUUAACAGGCAUUGCAAGUUUACUUUGAACAAAUCAGAGUGCUUCAAACAGGCGUUUUCGCUUGAAUGAUCGUGCAUGGAAUAAUAGAAAAUGAUUUCGGUUCAGUUUUAUUGGUUUUACGGACUGAGAUAAUGGUUAACAGAGACAAACGGGGGCAUUUGUAUGGUCCCGUGAGAGGUGAAAUUCUUGGACCGUGGCCAGACAAACUACAGCGAAAGCAUUUGCCAAGAAUGUUUUUAUUAAUCAAGAACGAAAGUCAGAGGUUCGAAGGCGAUCAGAUACCGCCCUAGUUCUGACCGUAAACGAUGCCAACUAGCGAUCCGCCGAUGGAAAUUAUAUUGCCUUGGUGGGGAGCUUCCCGGAAACGAAAGUCUUCCGGUUCCGGGGGAAGUAUGGUUGCAAAGCUGAAACUUAAAGGAAUUGACGGAAGGGCACCACCAGGAGUGGAGCCUGCGGCUUAAUUUGACUCAACACGGGGAAACUCACCCGGCCCGGACACUGUGAGGAUUGACAGAUUGAUAGCUUUUUCAUGAUUCAGUGGAUGGUGGUGCAUGGCCGUUCUUAGUUCGUGGAGUGAUUUGUCUGGUUUAUUCCGAUAACGAGCGAGACUCUAACCUACUAAAUAGUUGGUACAUACUCUUAGUGUAUACAGCUUCUUAGAGGGAUUUGCGGCGUUCAGCCGAAAGAAAUUGAGCAAUAACAGGUCUGUGAUGCCCUUAGAUGUCCGGGGCUGCACGCGCGCUACACUGGCAAAAUCAACGUGCUUGUCCUACCCUGAAAGGGGCGGGUAAACCAUUGAAAAUUUGCCGUGAUUGGGAUCGGAAAUUGCAAUUAUUUUCCGUGAACGAGGAAUUCCAAGUAAGUGCGAGUCAUCAGCUCGCGUUGAUUACGUCCCUGCCCUUUGUACACACCGCCCGUCGCUGCCCGGGACUGAGCCAUUUCGAGAAAUUUGGGGACCGUUGAUUUAAUUUUUCUAAAUUACU
rnacentral:rRNA from 1 species